UGACUUGCUCUUCAUUAAAUCAUUUCUAUUUACUUAAUCCUCUGUUAUUCCUAAAUAAAAAUAUUUUAUAGUAUAUAGCUAAUUAAAACAAGGCAAGCGAUUAUAAAACAAUUUAAAUAUAUUGUUAUAUAAAAAGUCAUUCUUGGGGAAACAUCCUAAACUCUGUUGUCUCAGACUUAUGACUGGAAGUGUGGUUUUGUUUUCUCUCUCUUUUGAAACACCUGUAUAAGCCAUUAAGGUACUCAUCUCUGUAACAGACAUGCAAGUAUUUAUCUCCUUUCAUUAAGAAAAUGCAAAAUCAUUCAUAGUGUCCUUAGGCUCAUUGCCUAUAUCACAUUAUAGCAUAUUAGUCUUAGUUCUUGUUUAGUGCCUUUCAUUUUAUAAGGCAGGAAGUUGACAUUGAAACUGAAAGAGAUAUGACAUCUCUAAGGUCACACAGGCAACAGAUCCAAGACUCUGUUUUUCUAUUGUUCUCAAAUACUUCUACCUUUCUGCCUCAGUGCCGUUCCUAUUAUGCACCAUCCACCUAACAUGGUCUUUACUAGAACUUUACUUAGCACAGUCCUUUUUAUAAUCCAAGCCUCUAAUUUAAUCACACAACACAUGUGCACGCACGCACACUUGCGCCCGCACACACACACACACACACACACACACACACACACGAGUUUAUUAGUUCUGACCAAGCAGUAAUCUGACUCGGGAAACUCCAAGACAGGUCAUGACAGAGAGCCCUGAGCUCUCCCUCCUUCAGUGUUGAUGGUUGCUCAGCUAGUUCCCAUUUCUAGGUCUCAGUUUCUUCAUCAAGUUGACUGCUGAUUUAUCAUGUUAAUAUCAAUUCCAGAAGAAAUUUUAGAUAGGAUUUCAGCAUGUUAAAGUUAAAAGUUGGGAUUCUGGCUGAGAUGGAGGCCUGCCAACCUGUAUGUUACAGACUUCUCUCACCUCUUCCACUUCUGCUACGAGAGGACCUAACAUUUUAAAUUCAGACACCAGAGAACUAAUCUAGUCAGUACAAGCACCCAAAGGAGAAAGCCUCAAAAGAAGCCUGCAUCUAACCCCUGGGUCCCCCUGCCUACCAUUAGAGAGCUUUCUUUUGUGUGACCCACAACAUGAAGUCCUUCUACAUGACACAGAAACCCCAAGAGAGAAGUGACUGUGCUUUAGGAAGCUGGCCCUUCCCCUGUCUGCUGCUACCACUCAUCUCCCAUUUACAGAUGUCUCCUGAGGUUGGUCCUUCCUACUUGCCUACUGGCUUUGCAAUAUUUGCCUUCCCUUAGGUUUAAUCAGAGUUGUGAGGACCAUGGCUGGGCUCUCUAGCCUGGGUCUUGUAAGUGCUCUAUUGUUGUUUCCAGAAAGGAAGCAAGACCUUUAGCUCUGUCAUUUCUUUAAGGUAAGUAUAUAGAAGCAUCAAGUGACAGUAAGUGCCUUUGAAAGAGGUAGAAGCUGUUUUAUUUUUGUGCGUGUCAUUCUUCUAUAAGAUAAUUGCAGUCACUGGAAGAAGUGUCAGUUGCUUUGCCUGCUUUGUGCAUUUGGACAUUGGAAACUGCAUCUGAGAUCCACCGAUACUUUCUAAAAUUCAUUUUUCACUUUUAAAUGAAAGUGUACAGAAUCACGAAUCUAAUAGAUAAGUAUAUGAACCCUUUGCGCUAUUUCUACCUGCCUAACUCUACUCUUGAGCCAGUUUUAGCCUUUCAAACAUGCUAUUGUUUUUCUUUUCUAUUGCUCAUUCCAUGUUGUUGUCUUGGCCUAGCUGGAAAUGGCAGAACAAGAUGCCCUUCAUCCCAGUCUGGGUGUUCCCGUUUGAUGGGUGGUCCUUAGCUCCUUAGUUCCUCAGGUUUAACACUGUGAUUCAGUGUCUCCUGUGGAAUUGACGUGGACAAAACAUCUGCUGGAUUUAUUCAGAUAAUGAGGUUUUGUGGAAAACUCCCAUAAUGAUAACUGCCGAGUGCUUGCAAGCCCCACUGGUGAAGGCUAAUGAGCACAGACGGGUGUCUGCAGUCCCCAGAACAGAGAAGCUGGGCAAUGUGAAUGCACCGCCCUGGUAUCAAAACUGCCCUUGGACUUUCUUGUUGAUUUUUUUCAUCCUCUCUCUCCCUUCUUGUCUUUCUUUUAGUAAAAGGUCAGCCCCAGAAGAUUAUUUAUGCAGUAUAAGGCAUUUUUAAAAUGAAGCAAAUUAGAACACAGCUCAGGACAGUGUUGCAGAAAUCAGAAUUGAGUUUCCUAUACUGUAUAGAUUAUUUAGUAGAACUGAUUUUUUAAUUUAAUUGACAAGCACUAAAUUAUGUUCUUUCAAAAGCAGGUUUGUAAAAGAGUGU
ensembl:sense_intronic